UUGGAAGAUAGGGAACUCAGGAGGGCAGAAAGGUUUGAUCUGAAAUUAGCACUGGCGGUGUCAUUAGCUGCACCUAGACAGAUAUGAGAGUUGUAAGUUGCCUGGCAAUCUAUGGAGCUAAUAAGUGCAGAGAUGAUGAUUAAGAGGAAAGGGAAGGCUCUGGAUUUGUGAAGAAGAAACAUGAUUGUCUUGCCCUUAGGCUUUGAU
rnacentral:misc_RNA from 1 species